AUUGAACGCUGGCGGCAUGCCUUACACAUGCAAGUCGAACGGCAGCACGGGUGCUUGCACCUGGUGGCGAGUGGCGAACGGGUGAGUAAUACAUCGGAACAUGUCCUGUAGUGGGGGAUAGCCCGGCGAAAGCCGGAUUAAUACCGCAUACGAUCUACGGAUGAAAGCGGGGGACCUUCGGGCCUCGCGCUAUAGGGUUGGCCGAUGGCGGAUUAGCUAGUUGGUGGGGUAAAGGCCUACCAAGGCGACGAUCAGUAGCUGGUCUGAGAGGACGACCAGCCACACUGGAACUGAGACACGGCCCAGACUCCUACGGGAGGCAGCAGUGGGGAAUUUUGGACAAUGGGCGAAAGCCUGAUCCAGCAAUGCCGCGUGUGUGAAGAAGGCCUUCGGGUUGUAAAGCACUUUUGUCCGGAAAGAAAACCUUGGCCCUAAUACGGUCGGGGGAUGACGGUACCGGAAGAAUAAGCACCGGCUAACUACGUG
rnacentral:rRNA from 1 species